rnacentral:rRNA from 1 species
CCUACGGGGCGCAGCAGUGGGGAAUAUUGCACAAUGGGGGAAACCCUGAUGCAGCGACGCCGCGUGAGUGAAGAAGUAAUUCGUUACGUAAAGCUCUAUCAGCAGGGAAGAAACACUGACCUUACGGUCAGCAGACGGUACCUGAUUAAGAAGCCCCGGCUAACGACGUGCCAGCAGCCGCGGUAAUACGUAGGGGGCAAGCGUUAUCCGGAUUUACUGGGUGUAAAGGGAGCGUAGACGGUGCGCCAAGUCUGGAGUGAAAUGCCUCAGCUUAACUGCGGAACUGCUUUGGAAACUGGCGAACUAGAGUGCGGGAGGGGUAAGCGGAAUUCCUAGUGUAGCGGUGAAAUGCGUAGAUAUUAGGAGGAACACCGGUGGCGAAGGCGGCUUACUGGACCGUAACUGACGUUGAGGCUCGAAAGCGUGGGGAGCAAACAGGAUUAGAUACCCGAGUAGUC